UACGGAGGAUGCAAGCGUUAUCCGGAAUGAUUGGGCGUAAAGCGUCCGCAGGUGGCUGUGUAAGUCUGCUGUCAAAGAGCGAAGCUCAACUUCGUAAAGGCAGUGGAAACUACACGGCUAGAGUGCGUUCGGGGCAGAGGGAAUUCCUGGUGUAGCGGUGAAAUGCGUAGAGAUCAGGAAGAACACCGGUAGCGAAGGCGCUCUGCUAGGCCGCAACUGACACUGAGGGACGAAAGCUAGGGGAGCGAAUGGG
rnacentral:rRNA from 1 species